ensembl:snRNA U4 U4 spliceosomal RNA
AGCUUUGCACAGUGGCAAUGAGGUUUAUCCGAGGCGCGGGUAUUGCUAAUUGAAGCCUUUUCCCAAUACCCUGCCUGACGACUUGGUAGUUGGCACUGGCAAUUACUGACGGUCUCUACGGAGA